UACGUAGGGCGCAAGCGUUAUCCGGAAUUAUUGGGCGUAAAGAGCUCGUAGGCGGUUUGUUGCGUCGGCUGUGAAAUCCCGAGGCUCAACCUCGGGUCUGCAGUCGAUACGAGCAAACUAGAGUGUUGCAGGGGAGACUGGAAUUCCUGGUGUAGCGGUGAAAUGCGCAGAUAUCAGGAGGAACACCGGUGGCGAAGGCGGGUCUCUGGGCAACAACUGACGCUGAGGAGCGAAAGCUAGGGUAGCAAACGGG
rnacentral:rRNA from 1 species